CCCACCGGACCAAGAAAGAGAAAUUCCCCACACCCAACUCCAUCUCCAUGGCCGCCUCCUCCCUCACCCAACUCCAACCAUCUCCAUGGCCGACUUCUCCCUCCCAGCGCCGCCUCCUCCCUCACCCAACCCCGCCCUGCGCGCCGCCUCCCCGCCGUCGACCUCUCCCCCUUGGCCGCAGAGCUCCGCCUGAACAGCAAGGCAUAUAACGGGCGAAGCUCACUGCAAGGCGGGCCGGCGAGGCCGCCCCCCCCGUCCCCGGCGACCGCGGUCUUCACCGUCCGUCGGCUGGGCCUCUAGAUCCGGCCACCGCGGCCUCCAUCAGCCACCUGCUCGCGCGCAUCGGAGCUGCGGACGAAGGCGACGGCGGCCGUCGCGGUUCCGCCGCCCAAGGGGAGCCACCAGGAGGACGCCGUCGAGCUCGGCAAGUUUGCUCGCUGCUUCCCCGCGACCUAGGUCAGACUCUCUCCUCCUAUCAUCUUGAGUUGCUUCUCUGCUGCACUAUCUCAUGCCGUUUCUCUUCUCCUGCUGCGCUGCUGCUAUCUACCGGAGCUACUGCCAGCGGCCACCUUUCCGUGCUCCUGUCGCCGACCACCUCCCCAAUAAGCUGCUGCUGGUGAGGCCCUCUUCUCCAUGUUCAGAUCAUACUGGAAGAGCAGAUGAGGGGUGUGAAGGGGAGGUACCAGGAGGCGGUGUCGGAGGGUAAUCAGGACGAGGAGGAAGGAUGGUGGGCAACAUCCUCAAAUGCAGCGUGGAGGCACUCAGGUGAUGAAGGAGGAUGAAGACUAAGAAUGACCUGCUAGAUUCUUCUACUUUCUGCAUUUGGGCAACCCGCUUGGGGAUGGUCUUGGCCUCGUGCGUGGGGGUCUGGUCCACCGAGUCCUCUGGCUGCUUUGAUCAGGCUGUGGUGGUGCACCAUGGUUGUCCCUUCUUCGACUCCAUGUGUUUUAUGGGGAAGUUUCUUGCUCCUCUCUGUGAUCUCUAAAUCUUGUUUAGUAUUUGGACCUCAAAUAUGUGUGAAGUCUGAAUUGCUUUCUUGGAUAUAGUGGAUGUACUUGCUUGUGUGAAACGAAUCGUGCUUCUGCACCUAAAGAAUGCGUUUUUCCGUUUGCUUGUUCUAGUUAGGUGCAUAUCUUGUAUGUUGGACCGCAGGUUGGAUCCUCCUAUGCUGGUUCCGUUCCGCCAUGUAGCAGUCACCAGACUUCAUGAUGCAUCGAGUCCUUGUCUGUCUGCAAUUCAGAUCAUGUUUCAGAUGCGUACAGUUUUACUGACAAAGUGCUAGCUCACAUCACCUUGUACUACUUAUACCUGUAGCUGUAGCAUUUACUGUAUAGCCAGUGUAGUCAAACAUGGGAACAAAAGCUAGAGACACUAUGUACUGCUUGCGCUCAAGAGACAUCAAGUGCUAAAAAUGAAGGAACUUCUCUUUGAGAAGUCAUCUAUAUACACACUUACCAAAAUCGAUCCCCUUGGAUUCAAAAGGUUUUAUUUCAAAUCCCCUGUCUAUCCUAAGGGAUUGCGCCGGGUUGCAGGCGAGCCUUCUGCAAUUUUCUUGAGGCAUCGUUCACUAUAUUUACAAUUAGAGCUCCCCUGUUAAUUCCUGAAGGUGCGCACUGAGAAAUGAUAAUCCCCCUAGAGCUCAUCUAGAUACACACUUGCCCAACUCGAACAUGCCAGAUUUGAUAUUCCUGUAUAAGCUACCUUGCUGUGAUGUAAGUGUGCUCUACCUCUGAGCGAGAUUGAAAAGUAUGUUCUGGUUGCAUCAUACGUACUCAAUAUUUGAUAGUUGUUGUCCACUAAAAAUGAUUUAUUUGUUUCAAUGGUGAAUUGAUUGGUAUAUAGACAUGUUCAUUGGUUGGGACUUCAUGUUUUAGUAGUUGUCAUAUACUUUUGUUGGAGCACGCUGAACAUUGGCCAACAAUAUAAGCUCAUGUUGGGUUGGUCGUUGUGCUUUGUUUGCAUAUUUUGAGUAUUAUCCUCCUUUGUGAUUUACUGCAGGAGGAGAGCUUGAGGAUGAGCACAAGCUGCUGGCACAAAGGCAGGUAGUCUCAAGGUUGAAUGACUACAAAAGGGGCAUGGUCAUGCCGACAUUUUCCAUUACAUGCAGAGGGAGAUGACUAAUCGUGGCCGCACAGUCUGGAUCAAGGAGUGGCUGGAGCUGGGCAAGGGUGGCACGCCACUGAUCCCGAGGCAGCUUGGUUCAAGUCGGUGCUUUGGAGGAUGAGAUGACUGUGUGGGUUAAUUAAGCAGCGAGGACAGGGGAGCAACUCCCUCCCCGCCCCCUUCUUUGCUGCAUGUGCUGCUUUGGCCGUGGCUAAAAAAUAUCUUGGUCCUCUUGUGAUGUCUAGCAGUCCGUUGACAUGGUAGGCAUUCUUGUGAUGCUCCAGGUUGAGGAGCUUGUAAUAGCAGUAGCACUGCGUGUCCUUUCCUUGGUUGCAAUGUUUGAUUCUUAUGUAGCACUGUGCACUUGUAUAUUGUUUGCCAUGUGCUCCGGAAAGUCCAAAAUAUAUUAAAGGUCAUGGCCAAAUUUUCUGUAAUUGGUAAUGUUAUCUGAUCAUGGAUUUCUGUUGUGCAUUUUCA